rnacentral:rRNA from 1 species
GAUGAACGCUGGCGGCGUGCUUAACACAUGCAAGUCGAGCGAGUGAGUUCUUCGGAACGAUCUAGCGGCGGACGGGUGAGUAACACGUGGGCAACCUGCCUCAUAGAGGGGAAUAGCCUCCCGAAAGGGAGAUUAAUACCGCAUAACAUCGUUGAAGGGCAUCCUUCGAUGAUCAAAGGAGCAAUCCGCUAUGAGAUGGGCCCGCGGCGCAUUAGCUAGUUGGUGAAGUAACGGCUCACCAAGGCGACGAUGCGUAGCCGACCUGAGAGGGUGAUCGGCCACAUUGGGACUGAGACACGGCCCAGACUCCUACGGGAGGCAGCAGUGGGGAGUAUUGCACAAUGGGGGAAACCCUGAUGCAGCAACGCCGCGUGAGUGAUGACGGCCUUCGGGUUGUAAAGCUCUGUCUUUGGGGACGAUAAUGACGGUACCCAAGGAGGAAGUCACGGCUAACUACGUGCCAGCCGCCGCGGUAA